AAUCCUAUAGGAUCCUAUAGGAAUUCCUAUAGGAAAUGGCAUUUCCUAUAGGAAUUCCUAUAGGAUCCUAUAGGAAUA